GAUGAACGCUGGCGGCGUGCCUAAUACAUGCAAGUCGAGCGAACAGACGAGGAGCUUGCUCCUCUGACGUUAGCGGCGGACGGGUGAGUAACACGUGGAUAACCUACCUAUAAGACUGGGAUAACUUCGGGAAACCGGAGCUAAUACCGGAUAAUAUAUUGAACCGCAUGGUUCAAUAGUGAAAGACGGUUUUGCUGUCACUUAUAGAUGGAUCCGCGCCGCAUUAGCUAGUUGGUAAGGUAACGGCUUACCAAGGCAACGAUGCGUAGCCGACCUGAGAGGGUGAUCGGCGACACUGGAACUGGGACACGGUCCAGAGUCCUACGGGAGGCAGCAGUAGGGAAUCUUCCGCAAUGGGCGAAAGCAUGACGGAGCAACGCCGCGUGAGUGAUGAAGAUCUUCGGAUCGUAAAACUCUGUUAUUAGGGAAGAACAAAUGUGUAAGUAACUAUGCACGUCUUGACGGUACCUAAUCAGAAAGCCACGGCUAACUACGUG
rnacentral:rRNA from 1 species